CCUGGCCCACGCGACGUACAGACCCGCCACAAAUACGAAGAUCCUCUGUCCACUCGGACAGAGUCUCCUUUGUAUUUGCACGGCGUACCAGCUAUACAACAGGAUCUCAACCACAACCUACAUUUACCAAUCAACAACCAAAGCAUGAUAUGCAUUUCCAUACAGCUAACAAUCCUUAGAAUGAUGCAUGCCUCUAAGCACUCCUUAGGCGCUGGAUGAUGCAAUGCACAAUACAACAAACAUCCUAUUUAAAAGUGCUCCCCACACGGAAGCUUUUAUUUU
rnacentral:lncRNA from 1 species